GGAUUGGUAGCUCAGUGGUAGAGGUUAGUCUUAAUCAAUUUGCCUUUUCCUUGCUUUAACUAAUCCCUCUCGUAGCAUGAGAUUGCAGAUCUCAGGGUCAUGAGUUCGAUCCUCAUUCAAUCCU